AGUGAACGCUGGCGGUAGGCCUAACACAUGCAAGUCGAACGGCAGCACAGUAAUAGCUUGCUCUUACGGGUGGCGAGUGGCGGACGGGUGAGGUAUACAUCGGAAUCUACUUUUUCGGGGGGGAUAACGUAGGGAAACUUACGCUCAUACAGCAUACGCCCUACGGGUGAAAGCAGUGGAUCUUCGGACCUUGCGCGAUUGAAUGAGCCGAUGUCGGAUUAGCUAGUUGGCGGGGUAAAGGCCCACCAAGGCGACGAGCCGUAGCUGGUCUGAGUGGAUGAUCAGCCACACUGGAACUGAGACACGGUCCAGACUCCUACGGGAGGCAGCAGUGGGGAAUAGUGGACAGUGGGCGCGAGCCUGAUCCAGCCAUACCGCGUGGGUGAAGAAGGCCUUCGGGUUGUAAAGCCCUUUUGUUGGGAAAGAAAAGCAGCAGGUUAAUACCCCGCUGUUCUGACGGUACCCAAAGAAUAAGCACCGGCUAACUUCGUG
rnacentral:rRNA from 1 species